GACGAACCGUGCAAACGUUGUUCGGAAUCACUGGGCUUAAAGGGCGCGUAGGCGGCUUGCCAAGUCGGGGGUGAAAUCUUUCGGCUUAACCGGAAAAGUGCCUUCGAUACUGGCAGGCUUGAGGAAGGUAGGGGCGGAUGGAACUUCCAGUGGUGCGGUGAAAUGUGUUGAUAUUGGAAGGAACGCCGGUGGCGAAAGCGAUCUGCUGGAUCUUCUCUGACGCUGAGGCGCGAAAGCUAGGGGAGCAAACGGG
rnacentral:rRNA from 1 species